UACAGAGGGUGCGAGCGUUGUCCGGAAUCACUGGGCGUAAAGGGCGCGUAGGCGGCUUGAUAAGCGUGCGGUGAAAGCCCGGGGCUCAACCCCGGGUCGGCCGUGCGAACUGUCGAGCUGGAGCACUGUAGAGGCAGGUGGAAUUCCGGGUGUAGCGGUGGAAUGCGUAGAGAUCCGGAAGAACACCGGUGGCGAAGGCGGCUCACUGGGGAUUUUCUGACGCUGAGGAACGAAAGCCAGGGGAGCGAACGGG
rnacentral:rRNA from 1 species